rnacentral:misc_RNA from 2 species
UAGCAUUCCUUCAUACCNUCCCAGCCCGCAAACAGCGAAAGGGUAAGCAUUAGNAGCAAACCCAAUGCCAUUUCACAGGAGAGACGGUCAUUCUUAUAUAGGGACAGCAAGAUCAUAGAGGAAAAUCAUUCCCUCCUCUCGCAAAGCAUUCUGCAUCCNAGAGCACGAGCAACUUCCCAUGUGCUAAAGUAGCCAAAAAGGCAUACCAAGUACACGACAGCCGCUGUAUGGUUCAUCCAAUGCCACCUUUGACGGGGAAAAGAUGAAUAAUUUUAGGCAACAAAAUUNGAUUCCGCUAUGUGGGUAUGCAACACAGAAACCCAUCCUUGCCCGACAUAGCAACAUGCCUUCGGGACACCACUGAGUGGCCUCAAGGUAGACAGUUCGACGCGCGAGCAUGGAGCCUGCCAACCCCAACAACC